rnacentral:rRNA from 1 species
AAUCAUGCUCGAGGGAUCGAUUGGCAUUGGGGACGAUGAAGAACGUAGCAGCGUACGAUAAUGAACGAGAAUUGCAUCUCAGUCGUGGUCGAAUAGUAGAUGAUAUCUACGAUAACCCCUUNNACUUAAGCAUAAGCUUG